UUUCCGUAGGUGAACCUGCGGAAGGAUCAUUACUGAGUUUGGAAUGAAGUUGUUCUGGUCUUUCGGGGCAAGUGAGCGCUUCUCUCAAUCCAUCUUACACCUGUGCACCUAUCGGGGAAGACUUGGAUCUAAGUUGGGUCACGACGGCGAUCUACUGUCUCCUCUUUAUACCAAAUAACAGUUUUAGAAAGUCUUUUUUGCUUGAUGCAAACUUAAAUAAAUACAACUUUCAGCAACGGAUCUCUUGGCUCUC
rnacentral:misc_RNA from 1 species